GCCCUCUACUGCUGUGUUUCGGCACAGUUCAUCUCGUGUGAUGAGCUUGCUUUCGGAAACCCUGUCAUAAGAAAAACUGCAACAUUUGGCGCCCGAACAGGGACCUGAAAGUAUGCUUCCGAAAACAUAUUAAUUCCUCAGGAUUGGGAGGCACUUGCCAAGACUGUUCUUGAACCUGGACAAUAUAUGCAGUUUAAGACUUGAUGGAAAGAAGAAGGCGCCUCCAUUGACCUGGUGGCAAGUGAAAAAGUUUACAGACACUACCAAAAAUCUUAUCAUUUCACAGGGUAAACCCCUCAAUAGCACCAGUCUUUUUGAGGCCAUGCUGGCAGUGUUGUCUGCACAGGUAAAUGAGUCUGGAUGGUUGCCUGGUCCUUUUGAUGAUAGAGGCCCUUUGAAGCCGGAAGAAGAAGGAAGGAUAAUAGAGAAUUACACGGUGGGUGUUAGUGGACCUCCUAUUUGUACGGGAAAGGGAGAUCAUUGCCUUAAAAUGAAUUAUCAGGCAUGGUUAAGUGUUGUCAAAAAUGAAAGCAGAUAUCAUGGGUUAUAUCUUUUGAGUGCUUAUAGUUUUAAAAGUUCUAAUUCCACUCUUAAUGAGAAUGUUUCCACACCUUACUUGCCUCCAUGCCAGGUGCCUCUUCUGGAUCAAUUAUCGGAUUGGGUCCAUUGGACUCGAUGCCGAGGGGAAAUGGCUCGGGUUCUUGUUAAUACUUCUUGGGGAAGUGUCACUGAUUGGAGCCCUUUUGGCUCCACCUGAGGAAAAAGGGGUCUGAAGAAUUUACACUGGCAUAGAGAGGAUAACACUAUUUAUAGCAAUACUAUUAAUGAUACCAUAGUAUGGCAUGCAGGAGGGUUUUCUCCUCCUGGUCCUCAUUUAAAUGGAUAUCCCAUCAAAAAGGACUUGUGGAAGCUUAUGGCAGCUUUGGAAAAUAUUAAUGCUUGGGUAGGACAUAUGGUUAACAAAUCUGGAAAUCAUAGUUUGACUUUUCAUAAAAAUGUUACUCGGUAUACUCGUAGUUGUGUGAAAUUACCUUAUAUAUUGUUAAAGGGACCAGCUGAAUGGAAUAAGACUCUAGGUAUUAUAAUAUGUAAAAAUUGCUCUCUGUAUACCUGUAUUAACUCUAGUAUAUCUUUUAACAUAUCUACUAAAAGUUUGUAUAUCUUACAAGUUCGGACAGGUUUUUGGCUUCCUGUCAAUCUUGGAAGGGAAUGGCAAGAAUCUCUUCCUAUGGCUGUUUUGCAAUAUUUAACUGAUGCAUUAAAAACAAGUAAAAGAUUUGUAGGAAUGUUGAUUACAGCUGUCAUGGGUAUUAUAGCCAUAACAGCUACUGCUGCAGUAGCUGGAGUUGCUUUAGAACAAUCUAUUCAGACCGUUGAUUAUAUAACUGAUUGGCAUAAAAAUUCUGAAAUGCUUUGGUCCUCUCAACAACAAAGUGAUUCGGAAAUACAUUCGGAAAUAGCAGACUUACAACAAGCUGUGGUUAUGUUGGGGGACCAACUUGUAAAUUUACAAAGACAAAUGAAGCUACGUUGUGACUGGAAUCAAAGUGCCUUUUGUGUCACUUCGGUUCUAUAUAAUCAGUCUGCAUUCCCCUGGGCAAAAAUAAAAAAGCAUUUAUUACAUCACAAAAAUUUGACAGAAGAAAUUGUGAAUUUA